rnacentral:rRNA from 1 species
UGAGUACGAGAUGCUACGGCAUCGAAGCAGUCUAUGUCAUACUUCCAAGAAAAGCUCGCACUGUCAUAAACAAAUUAAUGCCUGUACCAUAACCGACACAGGUGGGUAGGUAGAGUAUACUAAGGGGCGCGAGAUAACUCUCUCUAAGGAACUCGGCAAAAUGACUCCGUAACUUCGGGAGAAGGAGUGCCUUAUUUAUAAGGUUGCAAUAACCAGAUCCAAGCAACUGUUUAUCAAAAACACAGGUCUCCGCUAAGUCGUAAGACGAUGUAUGGGGGCUGACGCCUGCCCAGUGCCAGAAGGUUAAAGAAGUUGGUUAGCGCGCGCAAGCGAGCGAAGCUGAUAACUGAAGCCCUGGUGAACGGCGGCCGUAACAAUAACGGUCCUAAGGUAGCGAAAUUCCUUGUCGGGUAAGUUCCGACCCGCACGAAAGGCGUAAUGAUUUGGAUGCUGUCUCGGAGAGGGACUCGGUGAAAUAGACUUGUCUGUGAAGAUGCGGACUACCUGCACCAGGACAGAAAGACCCUAUGAAGCUUUACUGUAACUUGAGAUUGAAAUUGGACUUUAUUCGCGCAGUAUAGGUGGGAGGCAUUGAAAAUAUUCUUGCGGGAAUAUUGGAGCCAUCAGUGAGAUACCACUCUUGUAAUGUUAGAUUUCUAACUUUGUAUCAUUAUCUGGUCAAAGAACAGUUUCAGGCGGGCAGUUUGACUGGGGCGGUCGCCUCCUAAAUGGUAACGGAGGCGCACAAAGGUUUCCUCUGAACGGGUAGAAAUCGUAUCUAGAGUGUAAAGGCAUAAGGAAGCUUGACUGUGAGACCUACAAGUCGAGCAGGGACGAAAGUCGGUCUUAGUGAUCUGACGGUGCUGAGUGGAAAGGCCGUCACUCAACGGAUAAAAGUUACUCUAAGGAUAACAGGCUGAUCUCCCCCAAGAGUUCACAUCGACGGGGAGGUUUGGCACCUCGAUGUCGGCUCAUCGCAUCCUGGGGCGGUAGUACGUCCCAAGGGUUGGGCUGUUCGCCCAUGAAAGCGGUACGCGAGCUGGGUUCAGAACGUCGUGAGACAGUUCGGUCCAUAUCCGGUGUAGGCGUUAGAAUAUUGAGAGGAGCCUUCUUUAGUACGAGAGGACCGAGAAGGACAUACCUCUGGUGUACCAGUUAUCGUGCCAACGGUAAACGCUGGGUAGCCAUGUAUGGAGUGGAUAACCGCUGAAAGCAUCUAAGUGGGAAGCCCACCUCAAGAUAAG